CUGUAUUAGUUAGUUGGUGUGGUAACGGCACACCAAGGCUACGAUCAGUAACUGGUCUGAGAGGAUGAUCAGUCACACUGGAACUGAGACACGGUCCAGACUCCUACGGGAGGCAGCAGUGAGGAAUAUUGGGCAAUGCUCGAAAGAGUGACCCAGCAACGCCGCGUGAAGGAUGAAGGUAUUCUAUAUCGUAAACUCCUGUGAGAGCAGACGAAAGACAGAUUAUUAAUCUGGAUGACUGUAUGCUCAGAGGAAGCCCCGGCUAACUACGUG
rnacentral:rRNA from 1 species